rnacentral:lncRNA from 1 species
AGUGAUGUAUAGAGAAGACUGCAACCGUAGUCUCGUUCUAACCUUGGUAAGGAUGAUCUACUGUUCUAUUGGGGAGGCUCACGGAAUCUAGACAACACAAAGGAUGUUCGACCCGCACCUAUAAACCUACCCAUCCUGCUAACGAGAUGUGAUCUGCAAAGGUAACUCGGAAAUGUCACGUUCCUCGCUACUACCACGGUCCAGCUAGU